rnacentral:rRNA from 1 species
UUGACCUCAAAUCAGGUAGGGUUACCCGCUGAACUU